rfam:Camelus ferus unplaced genomic scaffold scaffold1577, whole genome shotgun sequence.
GGAGAGUAGAGCGCAGUGGUAGAGUGUGUGCUUAGCAUGCAUAAGGUCCUGGGUUUAAUUCCCAGUACCUCCA